rnacentral:tRNA from 1 species
GGUGUCGCCCCGCGGGGGCCGCACCGCUCGGGACGGUGGCUGCACGGCCGGGGUGCCGGACGGCCCGCGUUCCGGUCGCCGUGGCGUCUCC